rnacentral:sRNA from 1 species
UGAAACUCAGGACACAAGAUCGCGACGGC